AUGAGAAGGAGCACGCAAGGAGCCUCGCCGCUGCUGCCACCACCACCACGGUUGUCUUCACGCCACCGCCGCCUCCGAGUUCGCCAGCCGCUGCUCAGAUCUGCGGGAUCCAUGUCCCCAAGCCGCCGGUGUCCGUCCUCCGUCCCGGAUCUGGCUUGUCCACGCCCUUCGGCCUCCCCUGCGACCAGCGCCGGCACCCUCCCCACUGCCUCGUCUACAUGCGUGAGGACAACGAUGACAGCGCCACCAUCGACCGUCUGGGCCGUCCCUUGGCCUUGCUCGCGUGGGCCGCCGCGUGGGCAAGCCAGUCGUCGCCGGCGGGAGCGACAGUGA
rnacentral:rRNA from 1 species